GGGUUCGGACUGAGUUGGCGGGAAGAGGAGAAACCGAGAGAAAAUCGAGUGAUUGGGCGGAUUUAAAUGCCGAUUGCAUGAUCGAAACGGACUGGAGCAAAACAGCAAGACGACCGAGCGUGACAAAGAAGCAUUGAUCAGAACAAGAGCGAGAUCGAAGAAUGGCAGGGAAAGAGACUGAUAGUGAGAGUAGCAGUAUGGUUUGUAGUGAGGAAGAUGAGUCGGGGAUUAAUGAGUGGGAAAGUGUAGGAAAGGGAAAGAAUGCAAAAAGCCGGAAAAGAAAGAAAAAAGAAACAUCCAGCAUUGAAGAAUCAGAAAGUGAAGAAAGGGAAAAAAGAAUGAGACAGGAAAUAAUGAAUGUAGUUGUUAGAUUCGAAGGAGACGGAGGAUUAAAGAAAAUUGACCCGAUUAAAUUAACAAAAAUUCUCAAGGGUAAAAUUGGAGAAGUGAAAUAUGCUAGAAUUCUAGGAGAUGGGAACUUGUUAAUUGGGUGUAAUAAUAAAGACCAAAUGGAGAAGGCUAGGAAACUAACAAGUGUUGGAAAAAUAAAAGUUCUUAAGGUUGUAAGAGUGGGGGAAAAGAGAACAAAUGGAUGCAAGGGUGUGAUAUAUGGAGUUCCCAUUCACGUUAAUGUAAGAGAAAUAGUGGAAAGCAUUAAAGUGGAAAAUAGUACAGUGAAAAGUGUAAGAAGAAUGACAAAAGGGGUAGAGAAAAAGGAAACAGAAUCUGUACUAAUUGAAUUUGAGGAGAAUGAGAUACCGAAGCAGGUGUAUGUUGGUUUUGUAAGAUAUAAUGUAAGGGAGUACAUAACAAAACCAAUGAGAUGUUACAAAUGCCAAGAGUUUGGACACAUAGCCAAAAUGUGCAAAGGGAAGCAAAGAUGUGCUAGAUGUGGGGGGGAACAUGAAUAUGGGAAGUGUGGUGAGGGAACAAAACCAAAGUGUUGUAACUGUGGAGGUAAUCAUAGUGUAGCGUACUGGGGUUGUGAGGUACUUAAAAAAGAAGUGGAGGUACAACAGAUAAGGUUAAAAGAGAAGGUAUCAUAUGCUGAUGCAGUUAAAUUGGCUGGAAAGGAUAAUCAGAAUAAGGAGGGAAGAGGGAAUAUAGAGCAAGGAAAAGUAAAUGAGCAGCAAGAUAAGAAGAUUGCGUGGAAAGAGAAGAAGAAAUUGGUCACAUUCAUUGCAGGAGUAAUAAAUGCAACAUUUGAAAUAAAGUCAAAAACAGAAAGGAUUCAGGUGAUUGUGAAAGCAGCAGAACAUCAUUUGGAUAUGAUAGGACUGAAAUGGGAGGAAAUAAAUGAUGAAUUGAGGAUGCAAGCAAGUCAAGAGAAUUCAUGUGUUGGUUUAUA
ensembl:lncRNA